AUGCUCGAAUAUUUAUUGAAGUAGAUGUUUCUAAACUACUUGUAGAGGUAAUUGAUCUCUCCGCCCCCUAUGAGGAGUUUUAACAAACAGUUGAGUAGGAUUGGAAACCCAAAUUUUUCAAGCAUUCUAUGAAAUUUCAGUAUAACUUAAAGGACUGCUGGAAUGGAUCAGAGAAAGGUGAAAAGGAACUAAAAUUCAAUGAGAUGAGGAGGAAGAAACAAUGAAAUAGACGUAGACAUAAAUCACCUUUAUGGUA
rnacentral:lncRNA from 1 species